GGUUGAUCCUGCCAGUAGUCAUAUGCUUGUCUCAAAGAUUAAGCCAUGCAUGUCUAAGUUUAAAUAAUUUUAUACUGUGAAACUGCGAAUGGCUCAUUAAAUCAGUUAUGAUCUACGUGAUAUAUUCUUUACUACUUGGAUAACCGUGGUAAUUCUAGAGCUAAUACAUGCAUAAAGCCCAAACUGUAAAAAGGAUGGGUGCACUUAUUAGAUUUUAAUCAAUCCGGGGUAAAACCUGGUCUUUUGGUGAUUCAUAAUAAUUUAGCGGAUCGCAUGGCCUUGUGCCGGCGACG
rnacentral:rRNA from 1 species